rnacentral:rRNA from 1 species
UACGAAGGGGGCUAGCGUUGUUCGGAAUUACUGGGCGUAAAGCGUGCGUAGGUGGUUUGUUAAGUCUGAUGUGAAAGCCCUGGGCUCAACCUGGGAAUUGCAUUGGAUACUGGCAGGCUAGAGUGCGGUAGAGGGUAGUGGAAUUCCCGGUGUAGCAGUGAAAUGCGUAGAGAUCGGGAGGAACAUCUGUGGCGAAGGCGACUACCUGGACCAGCACUGACACUGAGGCACGAAAGCGUGGGGAGCAAACAGG